AUACCAGACUCCUACGGGAGGCAGCAGUGAGGAAUAUUGGUCAAUGGACGAGAGUCUGAACCAGCCAAGUAGCGUGAAGGAUGACUGCCCUAUGGGUUGUAAACUUCUUUUAUAUGGGAAUAAAAUGUUCCACGUGUGGGAUUUUGUAUGUACCAUAUGAAUAAGGAUCGGCUAACUCCGUGCCAGCAGCCGCGGUAAUACGGAGGAUCCGAGCGUUAUCCGGAUUUAUUGGGUUGAAAGGGUGCGUAGGCGGUGCGAAAAGUGAGAGGAAAAGCCCCGGGGCCAAACCCCGGCGGGCCGUUGAAACUGUCGGACUAGAGACGGCGAGAAGUACGCGGAAUGCGCGGUGUAGCGGUGAAAUGCAUAGAUAUCGCACAGAACUCCGAUUGCGAAGGCAGCGUACCGGCGCCGGACUGACGCUGAGGCACGAAAGCGUGGGUAUCGAACAGGAUUAGAUACCCGGGUA
rnacentral:rRNA from 1 species